AAUCAGACAAGAAGAAAAGAGUUUGUGGUGUCUCUGGAACUCUCUCACAAGACAUCGACGAAACGGAAGCUGGAGCCUUCUCCGUUUAGGAGUCGCCGUCGUUCUUAUCCCACUCCGACAACAUCUCCUCCGUCACAGCCGCCAUAGAUUUCGACACCUCCUCGUCAAGUAGCCAUCGCCCCUGUUGUGUGAACCCUAGGUCUGAUUUGUCUUCCGUUUUAGAUCAACGAAAUUGAACUGUUGAUAUCAGAGUGUCUCCCGGUUCUCAUGCCGAUGAACAGCUGAAUGAUAAAGAAAGACUUGGUAGUUGGUAGCUGCAUUGGAGAAUCCUAAUCUCUGUCUGCUUGUGGAUGAAUGUAUCUACUCCAAUAAGAUGUUCAGAGAAUUUUACUUUUACUCUCUUGUACAAAUUUUCUCAUUUGGGAUUGUAUUGUAUGCAUAGGAGACCGCUCUUUGUCUAUUUUUGUAUUGCUAAUAUUACUCUACACGCUUGAAUGUUGUAUACUACUUUGAUUUGAUAAUGUUACAAACCUUUCUUCA